AUUUAUAGCGACCAACUUUUUUUCCAGUCGUUAAAGCCAAUUUUUAGCCCAAUACUAACGAGGGGAAAAUUUUCUGUCAUAAAAAAGCAUAACAGCCAGUCAUUAAAAUUAAUUAAUCAAUAAAAGUUACGCGCUACUUUUUCCCUCUUUUUCUUUUCUUUUUCCAACCCACCCCCUCCUCCUCCAAAAUGUCGUCGAUCAAAACUCAUCAAAACACACACAAGAAUAAAAGAACCGUUCUGGGAGAAGAAACAACCGGUCUGCUCGUCACCAACACCGUUCACCCGCAACUGCUAUAAAAAGUACGUUCUGGGAGAUAAAAGAACCGUUUGUCACCUCUGUCGGCAUCAAUUGGUCAUCUUAGAUUUUCUUCUCAAGCGAAAGCGACAAGGCUUUGACAUAUAUGGUUGAAAUGGAACCUCAAAAAUCAUACAUGGCAACACUCAACUGGUAUAGAAUCCAGUCCAAAAUGAACUAAUUGCUCUUUUUUUAACCAUUCAUGAAUUCAUCCACUUAUUUCUUAUUUCUUUUUUUUUUUGUCUGUUCUUUUUUUUUUUCCUCGGAGUAUUUAUGUUUGGUAAGUUCUUCAUUAGUGUUACUUUUUGCUCAUGUGACACCUAUUAUUUGCAGUUGGAGUUUCAAUUGAAAACAUCUUGUAUCUUUGUGUACUUAAUAUUGCACAUAUUUACAAUCGAGAAUACGCGAAUGCUUUGAUAUGUGGACUUGAGAAAUGGUGGAAAGCACUUGGAAGAUUUUUGAGGCAGCCAAAUUUAAUUAUAUGGGACAAUGGUGACCUGGUAACUCAUGAGUCAUGGGUGGUCUCAAGAAUGUAUAUGCCAUUGGAGCUGAUUCUCGGGGAAAUGAAGAACCAGAUUCCUAAGUUUCUUGUCCAUUUGAGAUCAAAGUAAUUCCCAGAGAAUUCUCAGUCCUUUAAAUUGAUAACUAGUUGGUGCCAUUGUGUUAGUCAAAAUUAGUAGUAAAGGAUAUAAAAUGAAAAUUGUUGCUUUGAAGCAUCACUUUGGGAGUUCUCUUCAAAAAAUGCUACCAAAUUGGUAUCGGUGGUUUUCUAAUUUUCCAGUUUUUAAUAAUUAUCUGACACCAGGAAGCGAAUUGAUUUUGGUAGGCCAUAAAACUUAAUUGAUCAAUUUAGUCAAUAUAGUUUUUUUUUUUUUUUAAAAAAAAAAAGAUAAAAAGGAAAAGAAAACUACUCCUAGUAAAUGUCCAUUUUCCUGAAAAUGUGGCUAAUAAUGUUCUUUUGUCACUUCUUCUGUUCAAGAAACUUCUGUCACAAGAUCAAUCUGGACAUCAAGUUGGGAUGAAGCAAGUAGUGAGAUUGGAGCAGUUGUCUCAGUGGAAGGAUUUAGCUCCAUAUUUGAAAACAUUGUACGUCAAGUAAGCUGUAAUUCUGAAAACAGUAGGAACAGUGAUUCCAGAAAUAAUCAGACUCAUGCACAUCCUUCAAGGGAAGUCCAGAAUGAAAAUGGUGAACAAAUGCAGUCUAGGGAGCUGGAGAGCAAUGUUCAUCAGUUGACUAAUUGCUGUAAGAAUUCUAGCCAGAGUACGAAUAAACAACCGUCUCUAACCAAGGAAGGGAUCGAGUGGAAGUUGAGGGUUAGUUCUAAUAAAAAGCAGGUUAGUAUGUCAUGCUUUGCUGAUUUCUUUUGGUACAGUCAGUAUUUCCCGGCCUAUGACUCAAGUGCCACGCUGAUGAUGUUGACAAUUUUGAAGAUGCAGAAAAAAAAAAGUUUUGACGUCGCUUAUGUGAGUCACUUCUUCAUAAAGUCCUAUUUAUGCUCUUGGAUAUGUACGUUUUAAUCGAUUGUCUGUCAUGUGGAGGUGCUGCUUUUCCAAUGACAUUUAAUUGCAAUUGAAAGCUGACAAAAUCAUAGAGAAGUCACAAUUUAUUUUGUUUUCACCUGUGUGUUUGUUAUUUCUGGAUUCUAUCUCGGAUUCUAUCUUUGUGAUCUCCAAAACCUUUUAUUAGUUGGCUUAGCUUUGGGUUUAGAGUGACGGUUAUUUAUGAUUAUAGAUAGCUUCUAUGUCAUAAUCUUCAUUGGACAUAGAUGGCUUACCAGAUGAUCCGUCGUAUCCUAAAUAAUCAUAUCACGUGAUAUUGAUAUGAAGGCAAAUUCUGAGCUGAAUAAAGAGGUAUAUGAGCUGACCCAAAUCCGUAGCACUAUAUGAGAGUAGACAAGCGUGAAUAUCCCUAAUAGGGGCCUCCAACAGGUGCCCAGUGAAAGUCAUAGACUUCCCCAACGACAUCCUUUUUAAAAGAAGGUAACUUUGGAACCUUUUUCUUUUUGUUUGUGUAAAUAUACAAUUUGGUUUCCUAACAUUAGUUUUACACCUAUCUAAUUGCAUAGAUUAAGAUGAUAAUGAUUUGUCAUACCUUGAGAAAGUUAGUGGAGUACAAAAUCAAUUUACUAUCAGUUUGUGAAUUUUUGAACUUUAGAGACUUGUUUGAGAUUUUCUGUCUCUAUAUCUCAUUCUUAAACUUUUACUUAGUUACAAUUCCCUAUACAAUUUCUAAUGGUUAAACUAAAUUCUGUCUAGCUUUGUCUAAAUUCGAAAGACUUGCCUCAUGUCCUUUUGUUUACCUACCGUAUUAUGUGUUUGUUUUCUUAUUUUAUAAGCAGACCCUCUAUGUAUGCUCUUGGAGUUUUGCGAUGUGGUUUUGUGACUAUAUAAGUUUCUCUUCCCUACUGAUUAAUUUUUGAGUAUAUAUUAUGAUUAGGCCUGUCUGUGGAUUGCCAUUUGCAAGUUAAUUCAUAUUUCAACUUUGGGCCAAUGUGUGGUUCAAUUACUUUUAUCAAUUCAUUUUGGUGUAUGAAUUACUUUUAAGUUCUUUGAUAUUUUUUUACUACUCUGCUUUUACUUUCAUUCACUCACAUUGAUAACAUUUGUUCUUGUUUUCACAGAAGGGCAAAGCAUGGAAGAUGAAGUAACUGGAUGUAGCUUGUUUGUCACUUGCUGCUAAAACGGAAGAAAUUGAAGUUAGUGGGAACAAUCAUGUCCAGUAUGCUUGUUCUUGUUAGGGAUUGUUUGAAGUUUACAUUUGUACAUGCUACAAUAGAGUUAGGAACUGACAGAUUGGGAUGCUUUAUUUCUUUUGUAAUUAACUAUCAAUUUUAUAUAGAAAUUGAUUAUUUUACAAAUUUUUGGAUAUAUUA